rnacentral:rRNA from 1 species
UGGGGAAUUUUGGACAAUGGGCGCAAGCCUGAUCCAGCCAUGCCGCGUGCAGGAUGAAGGCCUUCGGGUUGUAAACUGCUUUUGUACGGAACGAAAAGACUCUGGUUAAUACCUGGGGUCCAUGACGGUACCGUAAGAAUAAGCCCCGGCUAACUCCGUGCCAGCAGCCGCGGUAAGACGGAGGGGGCUAGCGUUGUUCGGAAUUACUGGGCGUAAAGCGUGCGCAGGCGGUUAUAUAAGACAGAUGUGAAAUCCCCGGGCUCAACCUGGGAACUGCAUUUGUGACUGUAUAGCUAGAGUACGGCAGAGGGGGAUGGAAUUCCGCGUGUAGCAGUGAAAUGCGUAGAUAUGCGGAGGAACACCGAUGGCGAAGGCAAUCCCCUGGGCCUGUACUGACGCUCAUGCACGAAAGCGUGGGGAGCAAACA